rnacentral:rRNA from 1 species
CACGUAGGGCGCAAGCGUUGUCCGGAAUUAUUGGGCGUAAAGAGCUCGUAGGCGGUCCGUCACGUCCGCUGUGAAAACCCAGGGCUCAACCCUGGGCUUGCAGUGGAUACGGGCAGACUAGAGGUAGGUAGGGGAGAAUGGAAUUCCCGGUGUAGCGGUGAAAUGCGUAGAUAUCUGGAGGAACACCGGUGGCGAAGGCGGCAUCCUGGACCAACACUG